UACAGAGGGGGCAAGCGUUGUUCGGAAUUACUGGGCGUAAAGGGCGCGUAGGCGGCCUUCUAAGUCGAACGUGAAAUCCCCGGGCUCAACCCGGGAACUGCGUCCGAUACUGGAAGGCUUGAAUCCGGGAGAGGGAUGCGGAAUUCCAGGUGUAGCGGUGGAAUGCGUAGAUAUCGGGAGGAACACCAGUGGCGAAGGCGGUUGCCUGGAGCUUUGCUGACGCUGAGGCGCGAAAGCGUGGGGAGCGAUCCGG
rnacentral:rRNA from 1 species